rnacentral:lncRNA from 1 species
UUGAGUUGAGCAUGAUUCGGAUGAUCUGAUCAGGGUUGACAGUUUAACCCUGAGUCAUCCUAAACACAGGGGUCAAAAUGAUGAAUUAUACAGUAACCAUAUUCAUGUAGGUUCUGAGUGUUACGAUUGCGACUCUUCGACCUAUCCAGACAUCGGGUACCAUUGCUAGAUGGUCACUUCGAUUAGUACAGAAAUUGGUUCCUGUGCUACCGGCUUAGGUUCGAACCUGCGGGGUCACACACAUUAGAGGUUCCUAUCUGAUCUGAUGGC